CAUAUCUCCAAAGGGGAGUAGCGUCAGAGAUUUUCUCUGAAACAAAGUCGUCAUUCCGUGGAAUUUAUAUUCCUCCGGCUUUGUUGGCAUAUUCGAUUACAUAUGUC
rnacentral:sRNA from 2 species